GACGAACGCUGGCGGCGUGCUUAACACAUGCGAGUCGAACGGAAAGGCCCUGCUUUUGUGGGGUGCUCGAGUGGCGAACGGGUGAGUAACACGUGAGUAACCUGCCCUUGACUUUGGGAUAACUUCAGGAAACUGGGGCUAAUACCGGAUAGGAGCUCCUGCUGCAUGGUGGGGGUUGGAAAGUUUCGGCGGUUGGGGAUGGACUCGCGGCUUAUCAGCUUGUUGGUGGGGUAGUGGCUUACCAAGGCUUUGACGGGUAGCCGGCCUGAGAGGGUGACCGGCCACAUUAGGACUGAGAUACGGCCCAGACUCCUACGGGAGGCAGCAGUGGGGAAUAUUGCACAAUGGGCGGAAGCCUGAUGCAGCAACGCCGCGUGCGGGAUGACGGCCUUCGGGUUGUAAACCGCUUUCGCCUGUGACGAAGCGUGAGUGACGGUAAUGGGUAAAGAAGCACCGGCUAACUACGUG
rnacentral:rRNA from 1 species